GGAUCCUCCGACUCCAAGCUGCACCUCCCCAACUGUGGCUGAAGGAGAGAUUCUCCCUGACGACCUAUAAGCUGCUGGACGUCUGCAGGACAGGAGCAACACAAACACACUUGAGAUCACACGGGUCAAAUGUGAUAAGGUUCCUCCAUGUCAUCGCUGUGUGACAGCGGAGCUCAGAGAUUGUCUGGUGGUGGUCCUCCACAGUGGUCUUCACUUGAACUCUGAUGAUGAAGCUGUGGGCAUUCAGUGGUUCGUCUUCAAUCUUCAUCGAGACACCAGCGGAGAUUUCAUGAAAAAAAAGGACAUCAAAAAGGAUAGGUCGGCCAACACCGUAACUGGCUGGCUUCUUUCAACCUGAAUAAGGAUACUUAUUCCGGUAUUUCCAGACCAGCACAAAUAUGAGCUCUGACUACACAACAACAACUACAGAGCAUUUCAACUGUUUGUCGUCACCUUCACGGUCCUCAUCGCUCCUCAAAGGUUCUUCCAUGUCGUCGCUGUCUUGACAGUGGAGCUGAGAGGUUGUCUGGUGGUGGUCCUCCACAGUGGUCUCCACUUGGAGCCUGAUGAUGAAGCUGUGACCAUUUGGGUGGUUCUUCUUCGUCAUCACCAGUCAGUGGCAACCUACUGACUUCAGCCUCCUCCUCUUGAACGUGGGAUGGUUGUGGAUCCUCUUGCUGGAAACUGGAGUAUACAAUCAGCUGCUGAACGUCUGCGGAACAGGAGCAACACAAACACAACUGAGAAUCACACGGGUCAAAUACCAUAACGUAUGAGAAGUGUUAUGAGUGCGAAACUGUACCAACUCACAUUUCCAAGAGGGCCGAGGCCAUUUCACCUGUCGCAAAAACAUCCCAGAAAGUGAGGUUCUGAGAUUGAUAGAACACUCAGAAAUUUGUUUCUUUUCUUUGAGGCAACCUAUGAUACUGACUGGGAUUCAAUCGAUGAAACUGAAGAUGAUGACAGACCUCAAUUAAGGGAAGCAGUAUAAUACAUACAUGCAUAUACAUGGAUACAGAGGAGAUGUCACAACUCCUCAGCAGUAAUAUGAGUCAUUCUUUGCAGAGGAUAAAGAAUAUAUUCCUUUUUUAUUUGAUACACUGUAUGGACUCCCCUGAGUGUGCUUCCUAUGCACCCUCUAUAACCUGCGGGUAAAACACAAAAAGACAGAGACUAAUUCA